GACGAACGCUGGCGGCGUGCCUAAUACAUGCAAGUUGAGCGCUGAAGGUUGGUACUUGUACCGACUGGAUGAGCAGCGAACGGGUGAGUAACGCGUGGGGAAUCUGCCUUUGAGCGGGGGACAACAUUUGGAAACGAAUGCUAAUACCGCAUAAAAACUUUAAACACAAGUUUUAAGUUUGAAAGAUGCAAUUGCAUCACUCAAAGAUGAUCCCGCGUUGUAUUAGCUAGUUGGUGAGGUAAAGGGCCACCAAGGCGAUGAUACAUAGCCGACCUGAGAGGGUGAUCGGCCACAUUGGGACUGAGACACGGCCCAAGACUCUAAGGGAGGGAACAGGAGGGGAACUUCGGACAUGGAGGAAAGGCUUACCGAAGCACGCCGCGGGAGUGAAGGAGGGUCUCGGGUCGGAAAAGUCCGUUAGUAGGGAAGAACGUUGGUGAGGGUGAAAAGUUCAUCAAGUGACGGUAACUACCGAGAAAGCGACGGCUAACUACGUG
rnacentral:rRNA from 1 species